rnacentral:rRNA from 1 species
AAGCGUGCGCAGGCGGCUUUGCAAGACAGAUGUGAAAUCCCCGGGCUCAACCUGGGAACUGCAUUUGUGACUGCAAGGCUAGAGUACGGUAGAGGGGGAUGGAAUUCCGCGUGUAGCAGUGAAAUGCGUAGAUAUGCGGAGGAACACCAAUGGCGAAGGCAAUCCCCUGGACCUGUACUGACGCUCAUGCACGAAAGCGGUGGGGAGCAAACAGGAUUAGAUACCCGUGU